AAGGAGGAUGGGCCUUAGACAGACAUCACUCUUUAGAAUCCCUGCAACUUUGAGCAAGUUCGUGAAUCUCACUAAGGCUCAGUUUCCUCCAUAAAAUUAAUCAAUAUCAGGGCCUCUGCAUUGGACAACUCCAGAGGGCACCAUUGGGGUUAUACCUUGUGUUUGCCUAACCUUCAUUGCAGUGGGCAGGUGCAUGCUUUCUACAAUGUCCUAAGGUCUAAAGGGGUAGAGUUCUGUGUGUGGCAUUUUAGGCCUGGAAAGGAUGAGAGUCUACAAAACCAGAGAAAUACUGCAGAGCUCCUAAAGUCCUUGGAAUGUCCUAAGUGGUGAGUUUAUGCUAAAGAGGUAACUUUUGGAAAACCUCUAAGGAUGGGGGGCUGGUUGCCAGGGGAGCCAACCAUGUGAUUAGAAGGUUGGAACUUUCACCACCCACCACCCUGACCUCCAGGGAAGGGAAAGUGGCUGGAAGUUGACUUAAUUUGCAAUGGGCAAUGAUUUCAUCAAUCACGUCUAUGUAAUGAAGCCUCCACAAGAAAAAAAUCUUAACAGAAGACCUUCAGAGAGCUUCCAGGUUGCUGACCACAUGGAGGUCAUGCCCAGAGAGGGUGUGAAAGCUCCACACCCCUUUUCCAUACCUUGCCCUACUUAUCUCUUCCAUCUGGCUGUUUCUAAGUUGCAUCCUUUAUAUUAAAGCAAUAAUGUUGUAAAUGAACUUUCUCUGAGUUCUGUGACCCAUUCUAGCAAAUGGUCAAACCCAGGAGGGAAUGGUAUGAACCUCUGGUUUACAGCCAUUGGUAAGAAGCACACAUGACAACCUGGACUUUCCAUCAACAUUUGAAGCGGGAGCAGUCUUGUGGGAUCAAGCUCUUAACCUGUGGGGUCUGCUACUAACUCUGAGAUCCCAGACCACCACCCAUGAUCCCAGGCUGGAGGAAGCAGCAGGCUAGCGGAAUUCAGGACCAAUGAGCCAGGAAAGAGGACCCAAUGCAGAGCUCACAUCCCACCCUCCUUCCCCCAUGACAAAGCACUGGCAAACCCUGCCAAAGAAGAAGCUUGGCUGCAAAGCAGUCUGGAACUGGACCCGGGAUAGAUUCACCAGGAGCUCACCACCACAGGGAAUGCUGCACUUUGACUGGACAGAAUGCAUCCUCCAUGCCCACAGAGCAUGUGCCCAGGAUGAAUCUCACUGUAUCCCAGUUCCUCAUGCUUGGCCCCAAACCUCUUUUUCACAGUAAUAAAGAAAACACACUUUACAAAAAGGCAGUUCAUCUAUGAACAUAUUGGCUAGGAUAACACAUCUUAGAGCUAAAUGUGUCACUGUAAAUGGACUCAUUUUAUAUCUCCACAUACUGUAGAUGUUUAAAAAAAGGUACAUGCACAGAAACUAUGGGAACUGAACUGGAGUAUGAGCCAAUUACCCUAGACUUUGCUGUAAUCUGACUUUUGUGUAGC
rnacentral:lncRNA from 1 species